CAUGACACACGACAAAGCAAUGCAGCAUGAAGUAAGCCAAGUCCCACAAAUAGUGCAAGGAGCCAAGGCCCAUGACCCACGUAGUCCAUCACCGUAGGAACAAAUAAGACGAACAGUAAGGGAGCGUUUGUUUCACGGAUUGGAAAAGGAUUCCCGGAAAGUUUGGGCCGGAAUCUACAUUCCCGUGUUUGGUAAGAGAUUUGAAAAACAUAUACCCGGGUAUCUUCCAUUCCUGGGUAAGUCAUAUGUCCAUCCAGAAGCAUUUCUCAUUCCCAUGAUGGAGAGGUGGGUAAGUUGAAUCCUGAAGAAAAGAUAAUGAAAUUUUUUGUGGGAAAUUCCCUAAUUACCACUACCCACUACCCACGUUCUAUUUUUGCUAAGUCUGAACCCCCGGGAAGUCAAGAACGGAUUCCGCCAGUUUUGCCACUACCCACAAUUUUUUCUGGAGGAAUCCCACAAAGUCUCUAACUGAAAGAUUGCAUAUUUAUUGGAGUUCCCAGUUCUAUCACAAGGUAAAUUGAGCUGCUGCAGAACUGCAAUAUUUGAUGCUGUGAAAUUUGCAUUUUGAGCUGGUACCGAUCUGCAAAAUUGGUGUUUGCAUCUUCUCUAAGAUGUUGCUGCAGCUAUAUUGGUGUAGUUCUUGGCUGGUUUCGUUUGAUAUGCUGGUUCACUCACCUUAUUGGAGGUUGCCUUGGUCUUGCUCUUUUCAUUUCUAGUUAGUUGAUGUACUAGUUAGUUUGGUUCUAGCUUUCUAGUCUGUUGUUCUUGUUCUGUUUUUUUUUUUUUUUUUUUUUCUGUUUUUGCAUUAUAUCAGUUUUUAAUUGGUUUUGUUGGUUGGAAACUUUGGUGCUGGUAUCUAUUUGGGAUUUGAGGAACUCAGUUGGAUUGUGUUUUGGCUUCACUGGUGUGUGCUUUGGUUAAUCAAGGUCUGUUGAAAUUUUGGUGAUUUGUGGAUGGGCUUUGGGCGUGUUCUUGGUGGGGCAUGGAGUGGAUUUUAGAAGCAAUUUUCACCUUCAAUAGGAGGCUUGUUAGUGCUGAUUUGUUGCAGCAUUCCUCUGGUUAUUCUACACUCUUGGUGCUUGUUUCAUUCCAAAGUCAUGAGUGUUAUAUAAGAACUGCGGACAAGAGUACAAGAUUGGCAUAUUUUGGAAGUGAGUCCUGCUGUUGUUUCUUCUCCCUAAGCCAGUUCUCAGCUUCAACACACUCAUUUAAGACCUUUGUUUCUCGUUGAUCUCAAUGUGAUCAAAUUUAGGAUCCUUUGACAUUGUAGCUUCUCUGUAACUAUUUAUACAAUAGGUAAACUGAUCAAUUAUUAUACCCCUCUCAGUGUAUUCUUUGUAACGCACUUCGAUUGGAUCACCUUGCAUUUUUAGUUCUUCAAAUAAAUAUAUAUGUUAGUAUGGUGGUUAUAUAACAA